ACUAAGCGUACACGGUGGAUGCCCUGGCAGUCAGAGGCGAUGAAGGGCGUGCUAAUCUGCGAUAAGCGCCGGUAAGGUGAUAUGAACCGUUAUAACCGGCGAUACCCGAAUGGGGAAACCCAGUGUGACUCGUCACACUAUCAUUAACUGAAUCCAUAGGUUAAUGAGGCGAACCGGGGGAACUGAAACAUCUAAGUACCCCGAGGAAAAGAAAUCAACCGAGAUUCCCCCAGUAGCGGCGAGCGAACGGGGAGGAGCCCAGAGCCUGAAUCAGCAUGUGUGUUAGUGGAAGCGUCUGGAAAGGCGCGCGAUACAGGGUGACAGCCCCGUACACAAAAGCGCAUGUGCUGUGAGCUCGAUGAGUAGGGCGGGACACGUGGUAUCCUGUCUGAAUAUGGGGGGACCAUCCUCCAAGGCUAAAUACUCCUGACUGACCGAUAGUGAACCAGUACCGUGAGGGAAAGGCGAAAAGAACCCCGGCGAGGGGAGUGAAAAAGAACCUGAAACCGUGUACGUACAAGCAGUGGGAGCNGCUUUGGGGUGGGGUGACUGCGUACCUUUUGUAUAAUGGGUCAGCGACUUAUAUUCUGUAGCAAGGUUAACCGAAUAGGGGAGCCGGAGGGAAACCGAGUCUUAAUUGGGCGUUAAGUUGCAGGGUAUAGACCCGAAACCCGGUGAUCUAGCCAUGGGCAGGUUGAAGGUUGGGUAACACUAACUGGAGGACCGAACCGACUAAUGUUGAAAAAUUAGCGGAUGACCUGUGGCUGGGGGUGAAAGGCCAAUCAAACCGGGAGAUAGCUGGUUCUCCCCGAAAGCUAUUUAGGUAGCGCCUCGUGAAUUCAUCUCCGGGGGUAGAGCACUGUUUCGGCUAGGGGGCCAUCCCGGCUUACCAACCCGAUGCAAACUGCGAAUACCGGAGAAUGUUAUCACGGGAGACACACGGCGGGUGCUAACGUCCGUCGUGAAGAGGGAAACAACCCAGACCGCCAGCUAAGGUCCCAAAGUCAUGGUUAAGUGGGAAACGAUGUGGGAAGGCCCAGACAGCCAGGAUGUUGGCUUAGAAGCAGCCAUCAUUUAAAGAAAGCGUAAUAGCUCACUGGUCGAGUCGGCCUGCGCGGAAGAUGUAACGGGGCUAAACCAUGCACCGAAGCUGCGGCAGCGACGCUUAUGCGUUGUUGGGUAGGGGAGCGUUCUGUAAGCCUGUGAAGGUGGCCUGUGAGGGUUGCUGGAGGUAUCAGAAGUGCGAAUGCUGACAUAAGUAACGAUAAAGCGGGUGAAAAGCCCGCUCGCCGGAAGACCAAGGGUUCCUGUCCAACGUUAAUCGGGGCAGGGUGAGUCGACCCCUAAGGCGAGGCCGAAAGGCGUAGUCGAUGGGAAACGGGUUAAUAUUCCCGUACUUGGUGUUACUGCGAAGGGGGGACGGAGAAGGCUAUGUUGGCCGGGCGACGGUUGUCCCGGUUUAAGCGUGUAGGUGUGUGUUCCAGGUAAAUCCGGUUCACUUUAACACUGAGGCGUGAUGACGAGGCACUACGGUGCUGAAGCAACAAAUGCCCUGCUUCCAGGAAAAGCCUCUAAGCAUCAGGUAACAUCAAAUCGUACCCCAAACCGACACAGGUGGUCAGGUAGAGAAUACCAAGGCGCUUGAGAGAACUCGGGUGAAGGAACUAGGCAAAAUGGUGCCGUAACUUCGGGAGAAGGCACGCUGACACGUAGGUGAAGUGAUUUACUCAUGGAGCUGAAGUCAGUCGAAGAUACCAGCUGGCUGCAACUGUUUAUUAAAAACACAGCACUGUGCAAACACGAAAGUGGACGUAUACGGUGUGACGCCUGCCCGGUGCCGGAAGGUUAAUUGAUGGGGUCAGCGCAAGCGAAGCUCCUGAUCGAAGCCCCGGUAAACGGCGGCCGUAACUAUAACGGUCCUAAGGUAGCGAAAUUCCUUGUCGGGUAAGUUCCGACCUGCACGAAUGGCGUAAUGAUGGCCAGGCUGUCUCCACCCGAGACUCAGUGAAAUUGAACUCGCUGUGAAGAUGCAGUGUACCCGCGGCAAGACGGAAAGACCCCGUGAACCUUUACUAUAGCUUGACACUGAACAUUGAGCCUUGAUGUGUAGGAUAGGUGGGAGGCUUUGAAGCGUGGACGCCAGUCUGCGUGGAGCCGACCUUGAAAUACCACCCUUUAAUGUUUGAUGUUCUAACGUGGACCCGUAAUCCGGGUUGCGGACAGUGUCUGGUGGGUAGUUUGACUGGGGCGGUCUCCUCCUAAAGAGUAACGGAGGAGCACGAAGGUUGGCUAAUCCUGGUCGGACAUCAGGAGGUUAGUGCAAUGGCAUAAGCCAGCUUGACUGCGAGCGUGACGGCGCGAGCAGGUGCGAAAGCAGGUCAUAGUGAUCCGGUGGUUCUGAAUGGAAGGGCCAUCGCUCAACGGAUAAAAGGUACUCCGGGGAUAACAGGCUGAUACCGCCCAAGAGUUCAUAUCGACGGCGGUGUUUGGCACCUCGAUGUCGGCUCAUCACAUCCUGGGGCUGAAGUAGGUCCCAAGGGUAUGGCUGUUCGCCAUUUAAAGUGGUACGCGAGCUGGGUUUAGAACGUCGUGAGACAGUUCGGUCCCUAUCUGCCGUGGGCGCUGGAGAACUGAGGGGGGCUGCUCCUAGUACGAGAGGACCGGAGUGGACGCAUCACUGGUGUUCGGGUUGUCAUGCCAAUGGCACUGCCCGGUAGCUAAAUGCGGAAGAGAUAAGUGCUGAAAGCAUCUAAGCACGAAACUUGCCCCGAGAUGAGUUCUCCCUGAGACUUAGAGUCUCCUGAAGGAACGUUGAAGACGACGACGUUGAUAGGCCGGGUGUGUAAGCGCAGCGAUGCGUUGAGCUAACCGGUACUAAUGAACCGUGAGGCUUAACC
rnacentral:rRNA from 1 species